CCAAGUGCUUGUGGAUAGUCAAUCUUUAAUGAGCCAGAGAGCAGAAAGGCUCCUCCUGAGAAGUGGAGGCUCGGGUUUGUGUUCCUUGUGCGCUACUUGCCAUAUUCACCCAUGUCACCUCCAUGUGAGACGUGGAACAUGUUGCAGGGGUUACAGAGCUAUCUUAAGCCUGGGAAAGAAUUACUCAUUCUCCAUCUCUGAAGUAGGGAAGCAGAGCAGCAAUAACCUCUGCAGAGGUUCUUCCUGACUCAACCAUUUUCAGUGGAGAUUUCUCAUGGAGAGGCUUUCUGCAUGAUCAUUAUUGAAUAGGAUGGAGCUGGGAAACAAACUUUCUGAACAGUGAAAACCAAAACAGCUUUGAAGAGACUAUUAUGGGGAUGGAAAUAUUUAUCUCCUCUCUUUGUGACUUCUGCAUUUCUACCUUGUCUACUUCUGACAUUGCUGACCUUUGAGCAUAGAUAGCAAAUGCUUUUAAUAAAAAUGAAUCAUCAUCUACA
rnacentral:lncRNA from 1 species